GAAGAAGAAGAAGAGGAAGAAGAAGAAGAAGAGAUUAUUUUUGAUUUUGUUUUUUUUUGGUUUAGAAAAAUUAAACCAUGCCGCCUUCUUAUCAUCGUAGGAUCCACUGGUGCGCUUUGGAAGUAUACUGUGACCUCAAGAUACCUUUCAAUCGGCGAGCUUUGUUUGUGAUAAUCAGAAAAACUCUUAAAAGUAUACCAACGAUUUGCGUACUAAUAUUUUACUAUAAAGGAAAA
rnacentral:lncRNA from 1 species